UGGGGAAUCUUGGACAAUGGGGGCAACCCUGAUCCAGCGACGCCGCGUGGGUGAUGAAGGCCUUAGGGUUGUAAACCCCUUUCACCGGGGAGGAUGAUGACGUUACCCGGAGAAGAAGCACCGGCUAACUCCGUGCCAGCAGCCGCGGUAAUACGGAGGGUGCGAGCGUUAAUCGGAAUUACUGGGCGUAAAGCGCGCGUAGGCGGUUUGUUAAGUCGGAUGUGAAAGCCCCGGGCUCAACCUGGGAACUGCACCCGAUACUGGCCGACUGGAGUGCGAGAGAGGGAGGUAGAAUUCCACGUGUAGCGGUGAAAUGCGUAGAUAUGUGGAGGAAUACCGGUGGCGAAGGCGGCCUCCUGGCCUGACAUUGACGCUGAGGUGCGAAAGCGUGGGGAGCAAACAGGAUUAGAUACCCCCGUAGUCC
rnacentral:rRNA from 1 species